GGUCAGUGAUGGGUGUUGGCAUGUAUUACCUGAUCUAAAGGUGAUGUUUAUCACUACUUCAGCUCUAGAAUUACUCUGAGACCCA